rnacentral:rRNA from 1 species
GCCAGACUCCUACGGGAGGCAGCAGUGAGGAAUAUUGGUCAAUGGGCGCGAGCCUGAACCAGCCAAGUCGCGUGAGGGAGGACGGUCCUAUGGAUUGUAAACCUCUUUUGUCGGGGAGCAAAAGACGCCACGUGUGGCGUUCCGAGAGUACCCGAAGAAAAAGCAUCGGCUAACUCCGUGCCAGCAGCCGCGGUAAUACGGAGGAUGCGAGCGUUAUCCGGAUUUAUUGGGUUUAAAGGGUGCGUAGGCGGUUUGUCAAGUCAGCGGUAAAAAUUCCGGGCUCAACCCGGUCCCACCGUUGAAACUGGCGAACUCGAGAGGGAGAGAAGUAGGCGGAAUGCGCAGUGUAGCGGUGAAAUGCAUAGAUAUUGCGCAGAACUCCGAUUGCGAAGGCAGCCUACCGGCUCCUGUCUGACGCUGAGGCACGAAAGCGUGGGUAUCGAACAGGAUUAGAUACCCUUGUA